AGUGAAGCUGACCCUCCAUCCUGAGCUGGUCUGGCCUGAGAGAGGUAGGGGUGAGAUGUGCUGGGAAGCCAGAAAGGGAGGUGCUGGUAAGAGACACCCCAUCCAGGGCCAGAACCGCGAGAAUUCAUCUCUAUCCAUUCUGUGCCUGCAAGCAGAGUGAUCUUCCAGAAGUGUUAACUGGAUUGCACUGAGCCCCAGGUCCAGGGCACCUGUUCCAUUGCACUCAGGGGGCAAUCUGGACCCCUACCUAUGGACUGCCACUCAUCUGCUCCAAUCUCACAAGCCUCCUGACUCUGCCAUCUCAGACCUGUUACAUACAAACUCUCUGAAGUGCACACAGCAGCUGGCAGCAUGCAGAGGAUACUCAGCAUGCAACAGCUCUCUUGGGAGCAAGGCGUCAAUCCAUGAAGGCUGAGGAAUGGCUCUCCAAGGGCUGGCAGCAAUGUGGCUGCCAACGGUAUAGUGAUGGAAAGUGCCACCAAGCUAUAUAAUAAGCUGCUAUUAUUACUUUUGGUCUUUUCAGCCACAAGCACAUAAGCAGAGACUGUAGAAAUGCCAUCACCCAUAGAGGCACCUCCAAAGAUGAAGGAAUGUGUAUUGGGACAUGUGUGUCUAUUCCAAACCAAAUACUUCCUGUAAGAGGGU
rnacentral:lncRNA from 1 species